ensembl:misc_RNA Metazoa_SRP Metazoan signal recognition particle RNA
GCCAGGUGUGGUGGCUCAUACCUGUAAUCCCAGCACUUUGGGAGGCCGAGGCGGGUGGAUCACCUGAGGUCAGGAGUUCUAGACCAGCCUGGCCAACAUAGUGAGACCCCGUCUCUA